GUUUGAUCCUGGCUCAGGAUGAACGCUAGCGGCAGGCUUAACACAUGCAAGUCGAGGGGUAUAGUUCUUCGGAGCUAGAGACCGGCGCACGGGUGCGUAACGCGUAUGCAAUCUACCUUUCACAGAGGGAUAGCCCAGAGAAAUUUGGAUUAAUACCUCAUAGUAUAUAGAGUUGGCAUCAACAUUAUAUUAAAGUCACAACGGUGAAAGAUGAGCAUGCGUCCCAUUAGCUAGUUGGUAAGGUAACGGCUUACCAAGGCAACGAUGGGUAGGGGUCCUGAGAGGGAGAUCCCCCACACUGGUACUGAGACACGGACCAGACUCCUACGGGAGGCAGCAGUGAGGAAUAUUGGUCAAUGGGCGCAAGCCUGAACCAGCCAUGCCGCGUGCAGGAUGACGGUCCUAUGGAUUGUAAACUGCUUUUGUACGAGAAGAAACACUCCGACGUGUCGGAGCUUGACGGUAUCGUAAGAAUAAGGAUCGGCUAACUC
rnacentral:rRNA from 1 species